rnacentral:lncRNA from 1 species
CGCCGCGCUCAGAAGAGGGCUCUGAGGCCAUGCCCGCCUGUGGGGGCGGUGGCCGGGCUUCCGGGACCCCAGAGGGAGUCGUCGCGCGCUAGGUGGAGGGGACCACUCUGGAAUCCGGCGGGCCCCGGGCGCAGAUGCAGGAGCGAGUGGGGAGAGCCGCGUUCCUGGCAUGUUUGCCUCGAGUUAGUCACGAAGGAAUCGAAGAGAGCCUCAGUCUUCGAGGCUUUUCCCUUCCUGUGAGCCCCUUUGAGGCCAGCACAUUGAUUUUUUUUUCCUUUCGCAGAACAAUUUCAGACCUCCUGGGGUCUAUGCUAGGUAUAAGGUGUAUCCUUGUCCUCCAUCAAGUAGCAAAGAUAGACAUGUAAACAAAUUUUGACACUGUGAUGACUGCCACAAAAAGCAGCAUUAUGAGGUUGAAUGUAAAAGGAUAACAUUAGCGGCGGCGGGGGCCGGAGGAUGAAGGAAGGCUUCCUGAGGUAGGCGCUGGCGAAACUGAAGUUGGAGAGAGCAAGUGGCAUUUGCUGAAGUGCAUUUUCCGGUAGAAAACUCCAGUGGUCCCUCACCUGACUGAGUGGCGCAGUCAGAGAUAAAUGGAACAGAGUCUACAAAUAAACAUUUUAUAAAGAUGGUCCUUCAAUACAUAUUCUACAGCCCAGUUAAAAUGUGAGAGGCCAUGAUCUAUAGGCAGCCAUUUAUAAAGGUAGAUCGGGGCCGGGCACGGUGGCUCACGUCUGUAAUCCCGGCACUCUGGGAGGCCGAAGCGGGAGGAUCGCUUGAGCUCAGGAGUUCAAAACCAAUCUGGCCAACAUGCUUUAUGUGAUUGACACAGACACGGAAGAGAUCUGGUCCUUAUGAAGAAUUCUGUGCUCGCAGGAAAGAUUUGUAGGAAUAAUGAAAUGCUUUCUUCAUUGAUGAGAUGAAGUCUCUGUUUUUCAGGCAAGUUGACGGAAUAAAACAAUGAGAAACGAACUUCUUUAGAAGGUUGAAUGAAAGUAAGAUCUAGAUGAAAAAGUCAUUGGCCAAAGAUAAUUUUUUAAAAAAACCAUUCUAUGUUAACCCUUGGAAAAAAAAAAAAAAAAAAAGCAACCCAGAGAAAU